GUGUUUCUACAUCAAGACUGAAAUCAGCUCGUAACUGGCUGGAUAAAGUUACAUGUCGACCACAUGAUUCAAAUCUGUGGCAGUGUCCAUCUUCACCCUGGGGACAGAAUGAUUGUAAUAAGGAUGAAGUGGCCAAAAUCACCUGCUCAAAGGAGGAGAAUCAUGAGUCUCCUCGGAGUCAUCUGACAUGUUUUGCCUUUCCAUCUCCUCAACAGAAACAGUGUUCAAAGCAUCUUCCUCUCAGACUGAGUGGAGGGGAGGGCCGGUGCUCUGGGAGGCUG